rnacentral:rRNA from 1 species
CACAGAGUUAGCCGGUGCUUAUUCUGCGAGUAACGUCCACUCACUAUAGGUAUUAUCUAUAGGAGCCUCCUCCUCGCUUAAAGUGCUUUACAACCAAAAGGCCUUCUUCACACACGCGGCAUGGCUGGAUCAGGGUUCCCCCCAUUGUCCAAUAUUCCCCACUGCUGCCUCCCGUAGGAGUCUGGGCCGUGUCUCAGUCCCAGUGUGGCGGAUCAUCCUCUCAGACCCGCUACAGAUCGUCGCCUUGGUAGGCCUUUACCCCACCAACUAGCUAAUCCGACUUAGGCUCAUCUAUUAGCGCAAGGUCCGAAGAUCCCCUGCUUUCCCCCGUAGGGCGUAUGCGGUAUUAGCGUCCCUUUCGAAACGUUGUCCCCCACUAUUAGGUAGAUUCCUAAGUAUUACUCACCCGUCCGCCGCUAAGUAAGUAGCAAGCUACUUUUCCCCGCUCGACUUGCAUGUGUUAAGCCUGCCGCCAGCGUUCAAUCUGAGCCCAGGAUCAAACUCU